rnacentral:lncRNA from 1 species
GGAAGGUGAGGAUGAUCCAAAGGAAUUCCCUCUAAUACUUGACAUGUGGCUUGCAAGGACAAUGACAUUUAGAGUUAAAGUCCAACCAUCUUACCACCAAUCUUCUGUGAUAAGGCUAUCUGAAAGUCUGGCGUUGAUCAAGUCCAUUGUUGAUCAGUUUGGAACAUUGGAGAUACAUACUGUGAGUUAAUGAUAUUUCUGUUUUACCUAGUUUUCAAUUUUUUAUUUCUAAUACAAUCAAAGUUAAUUUUUACCCGCUUUUAACAAGGAUUCGAUCUCUGAAGAACUUCAUGAAAAGUGUCAUCUCAAUUACAUGCCUCAAUACGAAUCUGUGAGUGGCAUCCAUAAUUGAAUACAAUGUUUAAGAUGCAAAGGUAAUUUCUGUUAUAAAUGUGAUUUAUUGACAUGUUUUUCAACUUGCAUGGUUAGUCUGUAUCUUUCACUGCUGAUCAUGAUCCAGACAACCUUCAAUUACUAACUCCAGCCAAGAGAAUGUCGGUUGUGUUAAAUGUGGACCUACCACAAAGCCCCAUCUUUAAAUCUACUCAGUUGUCAUCUUCGAAGGUGGCAAAAUAUAUCAAGACCGAGUGACUAAUAGAAGCAUGAUAAAUUAUGUAUAACCUUUUGAGAGCAAUAUUUUGAUACAUCAUAGUUUGAUGUAUAUUUUAUGACAUCAUCCUUUACUACCAACAGACUGGGACUAACUAAGUUUGAAACACUACCCUCCCCAUAUAUAAAAUUAUGAAUACAGUUUGCUAUUAGUAACCCAUAAGUACAUAACACAAGUUAUACAUCUGACUGCCCGCAUGUUUAGUAAAUUUGAAAAUUUACUUUUUCACAACAUCUAAGUACUUUUAAAACUAACAUAAUUAAUUUUGAAACACUACUCUCCCAUAUAUAAAAUAAUUUUAAGUUUGAAACACUAUUCUGUCAUAAGUACAUAAUUAAGUUUCAAACACUAGUCUCCCAUAUACAUCUGACUGUCCUCAUGUUUAGUACUUUUAAAACUAAAAUAAUUUGCUCAUCACGUUAAGUUAAGG